GUGCCCACUUGGGCGCACAUGUACGAACACUGGAAUGAUACAGGGAAGACUAGCAUGGCCCUUGCACAAGAUGACAGACAAAUUCAUGAAGCACCCCGAAUUUUA
rnacentral:snRNA from 1 species